UCUAAGUAUAACCUGCCAGACAGGGAAAACUGCGUACGGCUCAUUACACCAGCCUUAAUUUACUUGACCUUGACAACCUACUUGGAUAACUGUGGUAAUUCUAGAGCUAAUACAUGCACCAAAGCUCCGAUCCUCGCGGAGAGGAGCGCAUUUGUUCGCCACAAAACCAAGCGCCCAUCUGGGCGUCCAGUGCUGAACCAGAACAACUCAGCUGAUCGCACGGUCUUGUACCGGCGACGUGUCUUUCAAGUGUCUGCCUUAUCAACUUUCGAUGGUAGUGUACCUGACUACCAUGGUUGUGACGGGUAACGGAGGAUAAGGGUUCGACUCCGGAGAAGGGGCCUGAGAAAUGGCCACUACGUCUAAGGAUGGCAGCAGGCGCGCAAAUUACCCACUCUCAACGCGAGGAGGUAGUGACGAGAAAUAACGAGACCGUUCUCAUACGAGGCCGGUUAUUGGAAUGGGUACAAUUUAAA
rnacentral:rRNA from 1 species